CUACGGGAGGCAGCAGUAGGGAAUUUUCCGCAAUGGGCGAAAGCCUGACGGAGCAAUCUCGCGUGAGGGAUGACGGCCUAUGGGUUGUAAACCUCUUUUUUCAGGGAGGAAUAAAUGACGUGUACCUGAAGAAUAAGCAUCGGCUAACUCCGUGCCAGCAGCCGCGGUAAGACGGAGGAUGCAAGUGUUAUCCGGAAUCACUGGGCGUAAAGCGUCUGUAGGUGGUUUAAUAAGUCAACUGUUAAAUCUUGAAGCUCAACUUCAAAAUCGCAGUCGAAACUAUUAGACUAGAGUAUAGUAGGGGUAAAGGGAAUUUCCGGUGGAGCGGUGAAAUGCGUAGAGAUUGGAAAGAACACCGAUGGCGAAGGCACUUUACUGGGCUAUUACUAACACUCAGAGACGAAAGCUAGGGUAGCAAAUGGGAUUAGAUACCCCAGUAGUCCUAGCCGUAAACAAUGGAUACUAGAUGUUGAACAGAUCGACCUGUGCAGUAUUAAAGCUAACGCGUUAAGUAUCCCGCCUGGGAAGUAUGCUCGCAAGAGUGAAACUCAAAG
rnacentral:rRNA from 1 species